GCUGGGUGUGAUGACUCACGCCUGUAAUCCCAGCAAUUUGGGAGGCCGAGGCGGGCGGAUUGCUUGAGGCCAGGAGUUCGAGACCAGCCUGGCCAACAUGGCAAAACCCUGUCUCUA
rnacentral:SRP_RNA from 1 species